rnacentral:rRNA from 1 species
UGGGGAAUAUUGCACAAUGGGCGCAAGCCUGAUGCAGCCAUGCCGCGUGUAUGAAGAAGGCCUUCGGGUUGUAAAGUACUUUCAGCGGGGAGGAAGGGAGUAAAGUUAAUACCUUUGCUCAUUGACGUUACCCGCAGAAGAAGCACCGGCUAACUCCGUGCCAGCAGCCGCGGUAAUACGGAGGGUGCAAGCGUUAAUCGGAAUUACUGGGCGUAAAGCGCACGCAGGCGGUUUGUUAAGUCAGAUGUGAAAUCCUCGGGCUCAACCUGGGAACUGCAUCUGAUACUGGCAAGCUUGAGUCUCGUAGAGGGGGGUAGAAUUCCAGGUGUAGCGGUGAAAUGCGUAGAGAUCUGGAGGAAUACCGGUGGCGAAGGCGGCUCUCUGGUCUGUAACUGACGCUGAGGCUCGAAAGCGUGGGGAGCAAACAGG